UACUAUUUGAUCAUACUGUUCUUUAGUGAAAGGAAAAGCACUUCCUUGAGCCUGUGGAGAGGAACCUGUGUAAGGAGAAAAGAGUCAACUCGCACCCAAAGGACUGGUUUACUUUGCAACCAAAUUGUUGUUAUCCCCUCGAAAUGAGUACUGUAGCAAAGUGCAAUUCAUCCAAUUUUAGACAAUAUUGCAAGGUUCCAUAUGUUUCACUUAACAAUCUAUUUUAAUUCACUAUUGUUAAUUGGUUUCUUAAUUGCUAAUCUUCCAGCAUCAAGCAACAAUAUUAUUUUUUUGGUUUUUCUGGAUAUCAGGUCUAUGCAACAACUGCUGAAACUGAAUAGCAAAAGUGGUGGGAAAAAAGUGUGCAUAAUAUGAUCUACAUACAUUCAACUCAAGAGUUUUUAGACGAGGAAAGAUCUCUUUUCCAGCAAGUAAAAGAAAAUGAAGAACCAUUUUCUACCUGUGAAAUAUCAAGUAACAAGAGGCAUUCUGUGUACAAAGACUAUGAACUAAAAUAAUAUGGAGAUAGAAGUGCAAGUGGAAGUGCUCACUUUGUUUCCAAUGGAUUUGACCAGUAUUUGUAGUGUGAAAACUUUGGAUCAUCCAAAUCUUCAGCUAUCCCAUAUGAAAAUUGAGCAUCUCCGCGAGCCAUCAUUUUUGGGGCAACAAAGUUGAGCAAAUCCAAAAUAUCUCCAGCUGAAUAAACCUUGUAUUCUUCCACUGCUUUGAUACCAGCAACACCCAUGUCAUAGUAUUCGGUCCACACAUCGCAUGUGUUAUUUGCAACAUUAGUUCCCUUCACUACACCCUGCAUGUAAAAAAACCAUAGCUACUUCCAGGCAACAAGUGAGUGGGAAAGAGAUAAUUUCGCAAAGCUUGUAAGUACCAGGUAUUAAGGCCGCUAUGCAGUUAUUAGUUUUAUUUGUUUUUCUUUGCUGUAUAAGGAUCAAAAUUUCUAGCAUUGCCCUUGAUGUUUGCAGAUUUAAAACAUUUCCAGAAAAGUUAACAUAGAAAAUAAAGGGUGAAGGUGGAAAC
rnacentral:lncRNA from 1 species